UACGUAGGGGGCGAGCGUUGUCCGGAAUCAUUGGGCGUAAAGCGCGUGUAGGCGGCUCGGUAAGUCCGGUGUGAAACCUUGGGGCUCAACCCCAAGCCUGCACUGGAUACUGUCGAGCUUGAGUCCGGGAGGGGAGAGCGGAAUUCCUAGUGUAGCGGUGAAAUGCGCAGAUAUUAGGAAGAACACCGGUGGCGAAGGCGGCUCUCUGGAACGGUACUGACGCUGAGACGCGAAAGCGUGGGGAGCGAAUGGG
rnacentral:rRNA from 1 species